rnacentral:rRNA from 1 species
AUUGAACGCUGGCGGCAGGCCUAACACAUGCAAGUCGAACGAGUGGCGGACGGGUGAGUAAUGUCUGGGAAACUGCCUGAUGGAGGGGGAUAACUACUGGAAACGGUAGCUAAUACCGCAUACCAUCGGAUGUGCCCAGAUGGGAUUAGCUAGUAGGUGGGGGAAAGGCUCACCUAGGCGACGAUCCCUAGCUGGUCUGAGAGGAUGACGAGCCACACUGGACCUGAGAAACGGUCCAGACUCCGACGGGAGGCAGCAGGGGGGAAUUUUGCACAAUGGGCGAAAGCCUGAUGCAGCCAUGCCGCGGGUAUGAAGAAGGCCUUCGGGUUGUAAAGUACUUUCAGCGGGGAGGCGUUACUCGCACAAGAAGCACCGGCUAACUCCGUGCCAGCAGCCGCGGUAAUUC